rnacentral:tRNA from 1 species
GCGAGAGUGGCGGAACGGUAGACGCAGUCGACUCAAAAUCGACCGCCCUCCGGGCAUGGGGGUUCGAGUCCCCCCUCUCGCACCA